rnacentral:rRNA from 1 species
UAGAUACCCUGGUAGUCCACGCAGUAAACGAUGAAUGUUAGUCGUCGGGAUGCAAGUCAUUUCGGUGAUGCAGUUAACACAUUAAACAUUCCGCCUGGGGAGUACGGUCGCAAGAUUAAAACUCAAAGGAACAGACGGGGACCCGCACAAGUGGUGGAGCAUGUGGUUUAAUUCGAAGAUACGCGAAGAACCUUACCUAGCCUUGACAUUGAUAGAAUCUUCCAGAGAUGGAGGAGUGCCUUUCGGGGAACUUGAAAACAGGUGCUGCACGGCUGUCGUCAGCUCGUGUCGUGAGAUGUUGGGUUAAGUCCCGCAACGAGCGCAACCCUCGUCAUUAGUUACUAACAGUUCGGCUGAGGACUCUAAUGAGACUGCCUUCGUAAGGAGGAGGAAGGUGAGGACGACGUCAAGUCAUCAUGGCCCUUACGGCUAGGGCGACACACGUGCUACAAUGGUUAGGACAAUGAGAAGCGAUACCGCGAGGUGGAGCAAAUCUAUAAACCUAAUCUCAGUUCGGAUUGAAGUCUGCAACUCGACUUCAUGAAGUUGGAAUCACUAGUAAUCGUAGAUCAGCAAUGCUACGGUGAAUACGUUCCCGGGUCUUGUACUCACCGCCCGUCACACCAUGGGAAUUGAAUUCAUUCGAAGCGGGGAUGCUAAAAUAGCUACCUUCCACAGUGGAUUUAGUAACUAGGGUGAAGUCGUAACAAGGUA